CAGGAGGUAGGGAAGGGCGGUGGAACAGUAGGAGAAUUACGGAGCGCCAUUAAGGACAAGUUUGGCCACGUGACUCUCAUGGGAGUUUCCUGGAGCGAACGUAAGGAAGAGGUCUAAGAAGGGAAAGUUUGAUUGGGCUAAUUCUAGAGUGAAUGAUGCUAAAGGGGAUCAGGGUACAUCAAAAUACACCACUUCGUCAUGAGGAUUAUUUUGAGCUGAAGACAAUUGAGAAUCAACAGAUACAGGAAGAGUCCUCUAGAACUUCCCUUAUCUGCCUAAAAGCAGGGCAUGAAUUUCCGUUUGUGAAGCCAUCCACCCCCAUAUCAAGAAGAGGAGACUGAUCCUAUCACCAGAGAUGGAGAGUCAACACCCAGCUGGGUUUGUAUAAACAGACCUUGCUAGAAGAACCCUUAUCUUCCAUCAGUUCCCCCUUAUAUUUCCUAGUCACUUCCCACGAUUUGUCAUUCCUUGAAACCCAAGCUCCCUUUCCUUUGCUAAAAUGGUAUCUAAGCCCCUGAGUUUUAACUGCUUCUUUGUGUUUCUUUUCUGUGAACUCCUAUGCGUGUAAAUAUUAAUAAAGUUUGU
rnacentral:lncRNA from 1 species